UUAAAAUGUAAAUUUAUAUACUAAAUUAUUAAUAGUUAUGAUCUUUAAAGUUAAAAAUUUUGGCGGUAUUUUAGUCUAUUCAGAGGAACCUGUUCUAUAAUUGAUAGUCCACGAUAAUUUAUAUUUUAUUUAUUAAUUUGUAUAUCGUCGUUUUUAAAAAUUUUAUAAGAAUUAUAAUUUUUAAUAUAUAUAAUUAUAUAAUAAUUCAGAUCAAGGUGCAGUUUAUAAUAAAAAAAGUAAUGGGUUACAAUAAAUUUAUUUAUUAUGAAUAAGAAUAUUAAUUAUUUUUUGAAGGAGGAUUUGAAAGUAAAUAAAUUAAAUUUAAUUUAUUGAUUUUAGCUCUAAGAUAUGU
rnacentral:rRNA from 1 species